AGUCUUAUAUUCAAUAAUGAUUUUAGAUUGCAAAUCUAAAGGUAAAGGUUUCUUUUAAGGCUU
rnacentral:tRNA from 1 species